AGAGUUUGAUCAUGGCUCAGGAUUAACGCUGGCGGCGUGCCUAAUGCAUGCAAGUCGCACGCUCACCCUUCGGGGCGGGAGUGGCGAACGGCUGAGGAACACGUGCGUACCGACCCUGCGGUGGGGAAUACCGGCUGGAAACAGCCAACAAUACCGCAUACGCUUGGCACCAAGGAAAGCCUUCGGGUGCCGCAGGACGGGCGCGCGGCCCAUCAGGUUGUUGGCGGGGUAAUGGCCCACCAAGCCGGUGACGGGUCGCUGGUCUGUGAGGACGAUCAGCCAGACUGGGACUGAGACACGGCCCAGACACCUACGGGUGGCAGCAGCAAGGAAUCUUCGGCACUGGGCGCAAGCCUGACCGAGCAACGCCGCGUGGAGGACGACGGCCUUCGGGUUGUAAACUCCUUUCGGGGGGGACGAAACGGACGGUACCCUCAGAAGCAGCCCCGGCUAACUCUGUGCCAGCAGCCGCGGUAAUACAGAGGGGGCAAGCGUUGUCCGGAAUUACUGGGCGUAAAGCGCGUGUAGGCGGAGCGUUAAGUCUACCCGUGAAAUGCCGGAGCUCGACUCCGUGCACGCCGGGGGAUACUGGAGGGCUGGAGACAGGUAGAGGCAGGCGGAAUUCCGGGUGUAGCGGUGAAAUGCAUAGAUACCAUCAGGAACCCCGAUUGCGAAGGCAGCCUGCUAGGCUGUUACUGACGCUGAGGCACGAAAGCGUGGGGAGCGAACAGGAUUAGAUACCCUCGUAGUCC
rnacentral:rRNA from 1 species